AUUGAACGCUGGCGGCAGGCCUAACACAUGCAAGUCGAGCGGAUGAAGGGAGCUUGCUCCUGGAUUCAGCGGCGGACGGGUGAGUAAUGCCUAGGAAUCUGCCUGAUAGUGGGGGAUAACGUCCGGAAACGGGCGCUAAUACCGCAUACGUCCUGAGGGAGAAAGUGGGGGAUCUUCGGACCUCACGCUAUCAGAUGAGCCUAGGUCGGAUUAGCUAGUUGGUGGGGUAAAGGCCUACCAAGGCGACGAUCCGUAACUGGUCUGAGAGGAUGAUCAGUCACACUGGAACUGAGACACGGUCCAGACUCCUACGGGAGGCAGCAGUGGGGAAUAUUGGACAAAGGGCGAAAGCCUGAUCCAGCCAUGCCGCGUGUGUGAAGAAGGUCUUCGGAUUGUAAAGCACUUUAAGUUGGGAGGAAGGGCAGUAAGUUAAUACCUUGCUGUUUUGACGUUACCAACAGAAUAAGCACCGGCUAACUUCGUG
rnacentral:rRNA from 1 species